GGGUCAGUAGGUUGGUCGUGCCACCGGUACGUACUGGUCUCACUGAUUCCUCCUUCCUGAAGAACCGUAAUGCCAUUAAUUUGGUGUUGCGGGGAAACAGGACUGUUACUUUGAAAAAAUUAGAGUGUUUAAAGCAAGCUAACGCUCGAAUACAUUAGCAUGGAAUAAUGAAAUAGGACGAUCGACCCUAUUUUGUUGGUUUCUAGGAUUGACGUA
rnacentral:rRNA from 1 species